rnacentral:lncRNA from 1 species
GAAGUGACAUGAGCUCACCUACUAGGCAGUUGUCCAUCUACAGGGCAUCUUCGUGCAAACUGAAAAGGAUGCCCUUUCUUCCAAAUGGCUGCAACCUUGAAGCAAAGCACACAGCUCAGUGAGUGGAGCAGGGCUGGAUUUCAUCCCUUGCUCAGCUGGGUGCUCCAGGGAGGAGAUUAUUACAGUAGAGUAGGUAAGACAUGGUUGGGUUCUGAAGCUACUUUCAAAGUAGAGCCAACAGGGUAUGCUGAUGAAUCGGAGAUGGUGUGUGAAAAAGAAAGGAGUCAAGGAUACCUUCAAAGUUUUUGGCCUGAGAAACUAGAAGGAUGAAGUGGCCAUUCCCUGAGAUGGAAAUCUGGGGAGGAUUGAGUUUGUCUAGGGACCCCAGUCUCACAGUGGGGCAGGGGAUGGGGAGACUGGACUAUACAUGCUCUUCAAGAUUUCUUCCGUCCAGGUGGAAACAGAAGCUGUGGUAGCUGAAGAAGUUUGGUCCACCUGGCUUGUUAGGAAUGCUGCCUGACAGCCACACACGUAGGUUUAAUAAGAAAGCAGUAUUACAUUUUCUACUAGCACUCCAUCAUCAAGAUCUGACUCUUUGCAAAACCUGGGGGCCCCUGGAACUCUCCUCUCCGCGUUCUCACUGUCCACUUUGAUAGCAAAGAAGUGGAUGUCUCUAGAGUGCAUCUAGGACCAUCUUUCAGCAUCCUAUUGUUGGAAAUGAAGUUGGGGACACCUGCUGAGACACAAAAGCAGCUGAAGUCUACCCAACCAUGGAUCGUGGCAGCUCAUGCUCACAAGGGCAUUUGGGGGUUAUGAUUACUCUAAUCCUGCACACCUGAGAGUCAGAAGAAGAAAAUUGAGGAGGAGAAAGACAUACCACGUGAUCGCUGCCUGGAGGCUGCCAUGUUGGACCACAAUCCUCUCACUGGAAGCCAAGAAGGGCACAGGAAGUUAGAGGCAAGAUGCCAUGAUUUUAGGCAGAUGCUACCCUGGAAGAAAGAGGAAGGCAGAAAAACUCCAAAAGCAUGACCCCAAAGCAACCAAGAAGAACACCAAAAUGAGCCCCCCAAAAUGGCAAGGGCUGUGAUUAGCAGACCUCCGCUCUCACCACAGUCUCACCGAGGUGCCGUAACAGCCGCCCUACAGACGUCCUGCCACCGCUCUGUUCCUCGACCCACAGUUCAUCCUCCACUCGGCACUAGACGGACCCUGGUCUAUUGGUCUUUAUUCCUCCGCGUCAAACCUUCCGCCACCCUCCCCUUGCCAUUUUGCCUUGGAAGGCUGGAGUCUGACACACAGGCUCCUCGGAAAGCUGCAACAUCAGGGAGGAAGACAGCCUCCCGCACGACGAGUCCUCCUGCCUCGAAGAGGCUGGAAGCAGGACCCGGAGCGGGAGGGUGCACGCCGGUCACGGGCCGACUGAGUCUGCGGGGAGCAGGCCCUCCAUCUGAUGCUCCAGGGAUGACGCGGAGAAAUGGCAGAGGGAACUAGCCUGGCGAGCCAAAUGUCUGCAAGACAUAAUAUUUUUAGAGCGCAAUUAUGAGUAGGCCGGCAGAAGUUGAAGCCAUGUGAAGGAAUCUGGUGUCUCUUGAGUCUAAGAAAGGUGGGUUUUAAUUACAUGGAAGACUCUGAACAAGCUACAAAGCAC